rnacentral:rRNA from 1 species
UAAAACUCAAAGGAAUUGACGGGGACCCGCACAAGCGGUGGAUGAUGUGGAUUAAUUNGAUGCAACGCGAAAAACCUUACCUACCCUUGACAUGGAUGGAAUCCCGAAGAGAUUUGGGAGUGCUCGAAAGAGAACCAUCACACAGGUGCUGCAUGGCUGUCGUCAGCUCGUGUCGUGAGAUGUUGGGUUAAGUCCCGCAACGAGCGCAACCCUUGUCAUUAGUUGCUACGAAAGGGCACUCUAAUGAGACUGCCGGUGACAAACCGGAGGAAGGUGGGGAUGACGUCAAGUCCUCAUGGCCCUUAUGGGUAGGGCUUCACACGUCAUACAAUGGUACAUACAGAGGGCCGCCAACCCGCGAGGGGGAGCUAAUCCCAGAAAGUGUAUCGUAGUCCGGAUUGGAGUCUGCAACUCGACUCCAUGAAGUUGGAAUCGCUAGUAAUCGCGGAUCAGCAUGUCGCGGUGAAUACGUUCCCGGGUCUUGUACACACCGCCCGUCACACCAUGGGAGCGGGUUUUACCAGAAGUGGGUAGCCUAACCGCAAGGAGGGCGCUCACCACGGUAGGAUUCGUGA